AUCGAACGCUGGCGGCAGGCCUAAUACAUGCAAGUCGAACGAGUGGCGGACGGGCGAGCAAUGUCUGGAAAACUGCCUGACGGAGGGGGAAAAUUACUGGAACCGUUAGCUAAUACUGCUUACCAUCGGUUGUGCCUAGGUGGGAUUAGCUAGGAGGUGGGGUAAAGGCUCACCUAGGCGACGAUCCCUAGCUGAUCUGAGAGGCUGACCGGCCACACUGGAACGGAGACACGGUCCAGACUCCUACGGGAGGCAGCAGUGGGGAAUAUUGGACAAUGGGCGCAAGCCGGAUGCAGCCAUGCCGCGUGUAUGAAGAAGGCCUUCGGUUUGUAAAGUACUUUCGGCGGGGAGGCGUUACCCACAGAGGAAGCACCGGCUAACUCCGUGCCAGCAGCCGCGGUAAUAC
rnacentral:rRNA from 1 species